UUUCUAUUAAUGACAGCAGCCUGGGCCAAUGUGUUUUAAAAAGGUAGUCUCAGCAGAUCAGUCAUUUCAUCCACAUCUCAGUGUCAGCUCUAAACCAGGCGGGGAAAAAUUCUGACAAUAAUGCAUAUGAGCUACCAAGACUUGCUGCUGGUGUUAAAGAUGUAUCCUGGCUGCCCUACUUCAUCAUCUGUGCUAGCAUGGCUCUUCUGGUUGCCACCCUGACAGUUUUAACCCACCUGAGUUGUUAUUGCUGGAAACUAAUACUGACCUAAACCAAUCAAAAAGACAAGAAAUGUCCACUCACAUGAUACCUGACCUACCUAAUGCGAGUGCUCCUUGUGCUUCUGUCCUGCAUAACUCCUAUUGUCAAAGUAAAGCAGGAAGACCACCAUCACUACCUCCCCUGAUGGCCAAUGGGAACCAGCCGCCAGUG